rnacentral:lncRNA from 10 species
UUGAAGGUCUGUGACACGGGUGAAUUGGGUGGUUGAUGUAAACACAGAACAAGGCCGCAGGCGGGCUGCUCCUCUGUCAGCAGAAGGAACACUCGAGUUUCUGGAGGUGAUGUCUUUGCCCCCUUGGUUCCUUGCUUGGCGAGAUUGUUAGCUGAUGUAGCCAGGGCUGAGAAACUCCACUCUGGCUUCUGAGGAGUUAACAGUCUGAGUUUGAAGCGUUUAAUUCUGUGCUAGGAUGUCUCCAUAACCUGGAAAUCGCUUGUCUGUGAAGCAGUUACAAGAGCCGGGCCCUGUGGGGAGCACCACUUAGCUUCAUUCAUUCACCGUCAGAUACUGAGCUCGGCCUGCCUGUGUGUGGGCCCAGAACCUCGCCCUUUGUCAGAAACAGGUUCAGGGAGGCUGGUUCCCAUCCCUGCUUUGCCUCUGUGACCUUGGCCUGUCGCCUGCCUGGGGUUCGAUUUUCCAUCAAAGGAGUGAAUUGCACUAGGCGAUCUCCAAGCCCAGAAAUUCUCUCAUUCUAGGAGUUAGGUAAUGCUGUUUGACUUAUGAAUAGAAGUGUCUUAGGAAAUGAGCUUCAAUUCCUUUUCAAUUAAUUCGGCUUAACACAUUCUUGACUUUAAUAGGAAAAUAAAAGAUUGUGUCAGUAUUUUGGCUUUUUCUGAAACCAAGGUGAUUUAUGGCCUAGUUUGGUUUAAAGCGUGUUUAUAAAAAUCAUAACAGUA